UUCGUCUUCUUCUAAUCUAGAGAAGAAUCAAUACAAAUCCAUCGUCUCUUCUUCCAUCUCCACCUUCUGCUUCGAGCUUGUUGUGCCUUUCAAUGGCUUCUUCCUCCAAUCCCUCAUUGUUGCUUCAUCUGCUACUCGUUCAACGUUGUUUAUUCCAUUGGAUUCCUGGCGUUCAUGCUGCACUCUCGUCCUGUUUUCACCGUCUACAGGAUGAAAUGUUCGAUCAGUCAUUUGAAUCCAUUUUAUCAGAAAAGUUACUCAUCUCUGCUAUCAGGAUCUACAUGCGGCAACCUCGUCUACAGGUCGGCUGAAUAGAUCUCAGUGCGAUGACUGAUUUGAAUUUUGAAGUGGUUUGACGGUCAUCUUCUUGCACAGAUUUUAGUAAAGAAGCUAUUUCAUUCUGUCUCAAAUUUACAUAACACUUAUCAAGAAGUUACGAUACACAAGCUUACAAAGUCAAGAUCGAAACCAAAAUCCUCAAGUCCUUGGAAUGAUGCAAGAGAUGACAGAAGUAGUGUAAGAUAACCACACUUAGAUUGAACACAAACUCCCAACACAGUUCAAGAAGCUUUAGGAAGACAGCUCAAUGGAAAGCAUCCACUCUGGAGGAGUCACAAGCUCUUAAAAAAGGCAUUGUUGGAUGUGGAUGGUUAAAUACUCUUCAGGUACUCCUCUCUAUCGCAACAAAUAUAAAUGGACCAAUUAUUUCAACUUUAUGUCAAAAAUAUUCUUCUCAAUAGUGAAGGUGGAAGAAGGG